UACGAAGGGGGCUAGCGUUGUUCGGAUUUACUGGGCGUAAAGCGCACGUAGGCGGAUCGAUCAGUCAGGGGUGAAAUCCCAGAGCUCAACUCUGGAACUGCCUUUGAUACUGUCGAUCUGGAGUAUGGAAGAGGUGAGUGGAAUUCCGAGUGUAGAGGUGAAAUACGUAGAUAUUCGGAGGAACACCAGUGGCGAAGGCGGCUCACUGGUCCAUUACUGACGCUGAGGUGCGAAAGCGUGGGGAGCGAACAGG
rnacentral:rRNA from 1 species